rnacentral:rRNA from 1 species
CGGCUGCGGCGAUACCGGCGCGUGAGGGAGGAGGUGGAGCGCCGCGGGUUCAGGCAGCGGGGGUGCAGGUGGGAGAGCGGCCGGCCGCGGCGGGUGGGGGCGGACGACGGGAGGGUGGCCGGAGUCGCGGACCAGCGCAGGACAUCGAGUCGGGUAGGACUGGAGCGGCGGAAGGGGUUGGGUUUGCCGGAGGACCACCGGCUCGGGCGACGCCGUCGCGGGCAGCUGUAACUGCACCGGUGCCUCCGGCUCGACGCCCUCUUGCCCAGGGCCUCAUGCGCGGCGUGGUUCGAGCAGACGUGGCACCCGGGGCGGUGGACGCCGGGGAGCCUCGACCUCCUCGACCGGCACCCCCCCUACUUGCAGCGCGCAGAGUUGUACACGGUACCCCUGGCGCUCACCGUGGUCUUCCAGUAGUCGAGGCACGCCUCCGAGUUGCUCCUCUUCCCCAUACGGCAACGGCAGUACUACCUGUGGCUCCCCUCGCUCUAGGUGUACCCCCUGGAGCCGCCGCGCGGUCGCCGGUUCCGCCUCCUACCUCUUUAGACCUGUAAGUCACAAUCUAGAAAACUCCGUGGAGAGGGUCUUGAUUGACAAGUACACUUGAUGCUUCCGAAGCGACUUCUACACUCUCAACCACUACUAGAAGAACACCUACCACCUUACCGAGCCAAACUCCAACAACUCUUUGAUCCUGGCCUACACUUCACGGCAACGUGUCUAGGACCAAACAACAACGGUGCACGGUUAGAAUGUAAAACCGCCCUACCGUCACAACAGGCGCGCUUCUUACGGUACGAAGGCUGUUAAUGUAGAUUCCUGACCGAACUGUAUCUGAAACCUUAACGGCUUCCACAUCUAAAAUAACGUCAAAGUAAACAAUUCAGUCGACUCCAAUAAUUGGUAGAUUUCUCGAUGUAUCGUCGUUCCUCGGCACCGUUACUAUAUCGCCAGUAACGUUUCUAGCUCUCGUAACUGAGAAACUGUUUGAACCUCCUCUAGUAGGCACGUAGUCUACCACGGUACCAUCGGUCUCCCCUGAAUCCCCGUGUUUAAGGGAACCUCGUCCAGGGAAGUUAUGUUGUUUUCUAUCAAUUUGACACGUCCGUCGAUUUGUUCGGUCAGCAACAACGAAGGGUCGAAGAGCUUAGCUACUAGCUCAUGGGAUAUGGGUGGUCCCGACUUCAACGACUACAAAGACUUCGUCAGGUGGUUACACGCCUACGAGACUACGAAAGACCGCUCAGUCGUUACCCAUCUAUAGGCCUGUUCCGUGAGUCACAGGAGUCAUCACAAUCGAAUUCCUAACUUUCUACCACCUCCCUCCUCUUCGUGGUACUCGGUGAUCUUGAACUCCUGCAAAGCAGAAGAAAGCGACUGUUUUAUAGUCUUCUCUAGACGUAAAGACGACGAUUUUACCGAUUGUUCAACCUUCACCUACGGCAAAAGCAGAUGUGCUUCCCACCGGUAUACCGGAGGGACGAAAGUGCCACGGCGGGACUGACGGGUUAGAAGCGGAAGUGCUUGAGCUGUAGGUACUCCUCUGCUGACUUGGAGGUUACCCCGGAGUAGGGGAAGGCGGAGUGAAAGAGGCUGCUGUACCUCUCAUUGGACUUGGCAUGAAAGAGGGACGAGUUCCGCUCUCCGUACUAGUUCGGGCCACUGGACCACUAGCGGGAGAGGCUGUACGACGUCAGGUAGGUCCACUACUUGCAUGGUAUUCUCCGUACUUAGGGAUCGGCACGACAAGACCGGUUUUGCUCUGUGACAAGAUCACAAACGUUAAAUAAGCACACAAGAACUUGCUCUGUGACAAGAUCACAAACGUUAAAUAUUCACACAAGAACAUAAAUCUGUCUGGACUCUUGAGUUGGCGCUGUUAUUAUUACACGACGUCAAGGAUCGGACGACAUUUUGAGUACAUGAUGCAUAAUAGGUCCUACCCGUCGCGGAAUGGCAGAGGCAGGCCGCGACGGGUCCCGGGGCCAGGUAGUUGCGGACGCGAAGGGCAGGGGCGACGGCGGAGGCGGGGGUCGGUACGUCACGAAGGAGGUGGCGCUAGGCCACGCCGCGGGAGCCCAGUCGUUGUUCUACCACCACUGCAGGGUACGUGAGUUCGUCGUACUUCAAGUGUUGCGCCAGAGGGAGAGGCGGUGUCUGGCCCAGGUGCGGUGGUUAGGGCACCGUCCCCCCUUCCGGUAGCUCCGCGUCGAGACGUACGGGGAGGUGGUGGGGCUCCGCAAGGAGCACGUGAAAUACUUCCUUUAUACGGGAUCUCCGUUAUUAUUUCGACAAUCAAAUAUAAAGGAAUAAGUACUAUUUCCAAGAACAACUAUUUUUUACCAAUUCCAAAAAAUUGGUACCUGUACUCAACAGUAAACUAUUGUUCUAGUAUAGUAAUCCUCUUACUACACUACCUGUUCUGGGUAGGUAAUCGAAUCGUAUUACUAACAAGUCAAAAUG